rnacentral:rRNA from 1 species
CGGGUGAGUAACACGUGGGCAACCUUUCCUAUCGCGGGGGAUAACACCGGGAAACCGAUGCUAAUACCGCAUGUCGUCACUGGUCGCAUGGCUGGUGAAGAAAGCAGCAAUGCACGAUGGGGUGGGCCCGCGGCCUAUCAGCUAGUCGGUGGGGUAACGGCCUACCGAGGCGAUGACGGGUAGCUGGUCUGAGAGGACGACCAGCCACACGGGACUGAGACACGGCCCG